AGCACAGGCGGGAAGGCAAGUUGGAAGUGAAAUCCAUGGGCUCAACCCAUGAACUGCUUUCAAAACUGUUUUUCUUGAGUAGUGCAGAGGUAGGCGGAAUUCCCGGUGUAGCGGUGGAAUGCGUAGAUAUCGGGAGGAACACCAGUGGCGGAGGCGGCCUACUGGGCACCAACUGACGCUGAGGCUCGAAAGUGUGGGUAGCAAACA
rnacentral:rRNA from 1 species